rnacentral:miRNA from 1 species
ACCUGGCAUACAAUGUAGAAUACUGU